rnacentral:rRNA from 1 species
CCGCUGACUUCGGUUGGCGCGUCUAGUGGCGCACGGGUGCGUAACGCGUGGGAAUCUGCCCUUGGGUACGGAAUAACAGUUAGAAAUGACUGCUAAUACCGUAUAAUGACUCCAGAAGAGAUUUUGGGGUCCAAAGAUUUAUCGCCCAGGGAUGAGCCCGCGUAGGAUUAGCUUGUUAGUGAGGUAAAAGCUCACCAAGGCGACGAUCCCUUAGCUGGUCUGAGAGGAUGAUCAGCCACACUGGGACUGAGACACGGCCCAGACUCCUACGGGAGGCAGCAGUGGGGAAUAUUGGACAAUGGGCGAAAGCCUGAUCCAGCAAUGCCGCGUGAGUGAUGAAGGCCUUAGGGUUGUAAAGCUCUUUUGCCAGGGAUGAUAAUGACAGUACCUGGAGAAUAAGCUCCGGCUAACUCCGUGCCAGCAGCCGCGGUAAUACGGAGGGAGCUAGCGUUGUUCGGAAUUACUGGGCGUAAAGCGCGCGUAGGCGGCUUUGUAAGUUAGAGGCGAAAGCCCGGGGCUCAACCCCGGAACUGCCUUAAAGACUGCAUCGCUUGAAUCCGGGAGGGGUGAGUGGAAUUCCGAGUGUAGAGGUGAAAUUCGUAGAUAUUCGGAAGAACACCA